GAUGAACGCUGGCGGCGUGCUUAACACAUGCAAGUCGAACGGGAAUUAUUUUAUUGAAACUUCGGUCGAUAUGAUUUAAUUCUAGUGGCGGACGGGUGAGUAACGCGUGGGUAACCUGCCUUGUACAGGGGGAUAACAGUCAGAAAUGGCUGCUAAUACCGCAUAAGCGCACAGAGCUGCAUGGCUCCGUGUGAAAAACUACGGUGGUAUAAGAUGGACCCGCGUUGGAUUAGCUUGUUGGCAGGGUAACGGCCUACCAAGGCGACGAUCCAUAGCCGGCCUGAGAGGGUGAACGGCCACAUUGGGACUGAGACACGGCCCAGACUCCUACGGGAGGCAGCAGUGGGGAAUAUUGCACAAUGGGGGAAACCCUGAUGCAGCGACGCCGCGUGAAGGAAGAAGUAUCUCGGUAUGUAAACUUCUAUCAGCAGGGAAGAGAUUGACGGGACCUGACUAAGAAGCCCCGGCUAACUACG
rnacentral:rRNA from 1 species